GACGAACGCUGGCGGCGGGCUUAACACAUGCAAGUCAGAGGGGUUAUUAUCAGCAAUGGUAGUGAUCACUGGCGCACGGGUGCGUAACACGUAGGCAACCUGCCCUGAAGUGGGGGAUAACGUCCCGAAAGGGACGCUAAUACCGCAUAGGACAGAGGGGGCGCAUGCCAUUCUCUGUUAAAGUAGCGAUAUGCUUCAGGAUGGGCCUGCGUCCGAUUAGCUAGUUGGCGGGGUAGAAGCCCACCAAGGC
rnacentral:rRNA from 1 species